CAUGUAUACAUGUGUCAGAACCAAGGCUAUAGUGAAGUCACAAAGUGAAAAGUGAGGCUAGAACACCAUGGAUCUGGUAUAUAUCUGAUUUUGAAUGAAUUUUUGGUAUGUUCAGAAACAUUUUAGAGCUGCACCUUUUGUUACUGCCACAUUCAGAUUGUGUGGUGUUGCCAAUUAAACCAUCACAGUGCUGCUGUCCAACCAACUCCAAAGGCCCACCCAUGGAGAAUCACACUGAUCCACCUGUUCCUAGCUCACAGGUGUCCGUCCAGCUGCUGACGGUUCUGUCCGGCUGUCCUGGGACCAGCUGGAGGUAACUCUACGUUGCAGAUGCUUGUCCCAAGACUUCUGGAUCGUGGAACCACUUCGGUGUAGAGAGGACAUGUUUGAACAACCCACAUUUGAUUGUUCUGGAGUUCUGCCAGGGUGAGGCACAACGAACGCUAUGGCACCAGGCCAGGACCUAAGUUACUGUGGAAGCCCAGAAGAGCCCCCAAGGGGAAGGUCUGCUGACUUCUCAGAA